AACGAACGCUGGCGGCAUGCUUAACACAUGCAAGUCGAACGGAACCGUCCUGCCUUGUUGGGCUGCUCGGGGUGCCAACGGGUAAGUAACACGUAAGUAACCUGUCCUUGACUGUGGGAUAACUUCAUGCAACUUGAUCUAAUCCCGGAUAGGAGCUCCUGCUGCUUGGUGGGGGUUGGUAAGUUUCGGCGGUUGGGGAUGGACUCGCGGCUUAUCAGCUUGUUGGUUGGGUAGUGGCUUACCAAGGCUUUGACGGGUAGCAGGGCUGAGAGGGUCACCGGCCACAUUGGGACUGAGAUACGGCACAGACUCGUACGGGAGGGAGCAGUGGGGAAUAGUGCACAAUGGGAGGAAGGCUGAUGCAGCAAAGCCGUGUGCGGGAUGACGGCAAGCGGGUUGUAAACCGCUGUCGCCUGUGACGAAGCGAGAGUGACGGUAAUGGGUAAAGAAGCACCGGCUAACUACGUG
rnacentral:rRNA from 1 species